rnacentral:rRNA from 1 species
GCUUACCAUGCAAGUCGAACGAUGAUUAUCUAGCUUGCUAGAUAUGAUUAGUGGCGGACGGGUGAGUAACAUUUAGGAAUCUGCCUAGUAGUGGGGGAUAGCUCGGGGAAACUCGAAUUAAUACCGCAUACGACCUACGGGUGAAAGGGGGCGCAAGCUCUUGCUAUUAGAUGAGCCUAAAUCAGAUUAGCUAGUUGGUGGGGUAAAGGCCYACCAAGGCGACGAUCUGUAACUGGUCUGAGAGGAUGAUCAGUCACACCGGAACUGAGACACGGUCCGGACUCCUACGGGAGGCAGCAGUGGGGAAUAUUGGACAAUGGGGGCAACCCUGAUCCAGCCAUGCCGCGUGUGUGAAGAAGGCCUUUUGGUUGUAAAGCACUUUAAGCAGGGAGGAGAGGCUAAUGGUUAAUACCCAUUAGAUUAGACGUUACCUGCAGAAUAAGCACCGGCUAACUCUGUGCCAGCAGCCGCGGUAAUACAGAGGGUGCGAGCGUUAAUCGGAAUUACUGGGCGUAAAGCGAGUGUAGGUGGCUCAUUAAGUCACAUGUGAAAUCCCCGGGCUUAACCUGGGAACUGCAUGUGAUACUGGUGGUGCUAGAAUAUGUGAGAGGGAAGUAGAAUUCCAGGUGUAGCGGUGAAAUGCGUAGAGAUCUGGAGGAAUACCGAUGGCGAAGGCAGCUUCCUGGCAUAAUAUUGACACUGAGAUUCGAAAGCGUGGGUAGCAAACAGGAUUAGAUACCCUGGUAGUCCACGCCGUAAACGAUGUCUACUAGCCGUUGGGGUCCUUGAGACUUUAGUGGCGCAGUUAACGCGAUAAGUAGACCGCCUGGGGAGUACGGCCGCAAGGUUAAAACUCAAAUGAAUUGACGGGGGCCCGCACAAGCGGUGGAGCAUGUGGUUUAAUUCGAUGCAACGCGAAGAACCUUACCUGGUCUUGACAUAGUGAGAAUCCUGCAGAGAUGCGGGAGUGCCUUCGGGAAUUCACAUACAGGUGCUGCAUGGCUGUCGUCAGCUCGUGUCGUGAGAUGUUGGGUUAAGUCCCGCAACGAGCGCAACCCUUUUCCUUAUUU